rnacentral:rRNA from 1 species
AUGAUCAAUAGGGGCAAGCAGAGCUCAAUACUAUUACUUUGGAGAUGCCAUAACUUUCGAUACAACAUACCAUACAAACCUGUACGACAUGCCAUUUGGACUAUUUGUAGGUGUCAACAAUCACUUCCAAAUUGUAAUAUUUGGUGGUGUGUUAGUAAGGGACGAGAGAGCGGAAGCAUUUACUUGGGUGUUUACAGAAUUUGUCCGCAUGAUGGGUGGCAAACAUCUUCAGACCUUGCUCACAGAUCAAUGUCGGGCAUGGAAGUAGUAAUAGAGAAGUUCAUGCCAAACACAACGCACCGCUGGUGCAAGUGGCACGUCUUGAAGAAGGCAAAGGAAUCUCUUGGACCAUAUUACAUAAAGAGGAGCAAGUUUAACAUACAGUUUCACAAGAUAAUACACCACAUGCUGACAGUUGAUGAGUUUGAGACUGCAUGGAAGCAACUCAUAGAAACAGAUGGUUUGAGAAAACACACUUACCUGACCCAAAUAUAUGAAAAAAGAGAGAAAUGGGCAAAACCAUAUUUGAAUGGGAAGUUCUAUGCCAAAAUGACAAGUACAUAG